rnacentral:rRNA from 1 species
CUACACACGUGCUACAAUGGGCGAGACAGAGCGACGCGAAGCCGCGAGGUGGAGCAAAUCGCAGAAAUCGCCCUCAGUUCGGAUUGGAGUCUGAAACCCGACUCCAUGAAGGUGGAAUCGCUAGUAAUCGCGCAUCAGCAUGGCGCGGUGAAUACGUUCCCGGGCCUU